UAAGCAACUCUCUUUACUCUCAUACUUAAAU
rnacentral:piRNA from 1 species